AUGAACGCUGGCGGCGUGCCUAAUACAUGCAAGUCGAGCGAACAGACGAGGAGCUUGCUCCUCUGACGUUAGCGGCGGACGGGUGAGUAACACGUGGAUAACCUACCUAUAAGACUGGGAUAACUUCGGGAAACCGGAGCUAAUACCGGAUAAUAUAUUGAACCGCAUGGUUCAAUAGUGAAAGACGGUUUUGCUGUCACUUAUAGAUGGAUCCGCGCCGCAUUAGCUAGUUGGUAAGGUAACGGCUUACCAAGGCAACGAUGCGUAGCCGACCUGAGAGGGUGAUCGGCCACACUGGAACUGGGAGACGGUCCAGACUCCUACGGGAGGCAGAGGUAGGGAAUCUUCCGCAAUGGGCGAAAGCCUGACGGAGCAACGCCGCGUGAGUGAUGAAGGUCUUCGGAUCGUAAAACUCUGUUAUUAGGGAAGAACAAAUGUGUAAGUAACUAUGCACGUCUUGACGGUACCUAAUCAGAAAGCCAGGGCUAACUACGUG
rnacentral:rRNA from 1 species